CACAUAUUUUAAUAGACCUUUUUCACAAUGCGGAAAGUCGGGAUUUUCCAAUCCGGCAACGCCGUAAUCGGCAAUUUUAGUUCCCAUUAUUUUUUCCCUGUGUAAAUUCCCAUAAGGAAUCGGGGUACCUUUAGUUUUAAUUCAUUUUUUAAUUAUUGGUUUCUUACAGCCAAUUUAUUUUUCAUCGAUCGUGUUCCCCGAUAAAUUGGUUGUUUUGAUUCUGGUAUGUCAAAACAGACA